UAUACGGAUGCGAUGACGAUCGGCUGGUC
rnacentral:sRNA from 1 species